rnacentral:lncRNA from 1 species
CCGUCCCCGAUGGGGAGCCUCCAUUUUACACAGGCACAUAUUCACACAGGCAUAUUAUUUGAAAUUUCACAUACACAACCAAAUUCACCCAAAUCUUAUCGUCACACAACCAAAUUUACCAAAGUCUCAUCAUCACACAACUAAAAUCACAUACACAAGUUCACCACACAAAAGUUAACAACGAUAAAGGUUCUCAAAUGCCAAGUCUACAAAGUGCAAUACAAGUUUUACAGCAACUAGUCUCUUUGCCAUCGCCAACAAGUCUUUCCAAUAUCAAGUGAACUUCUAUUUCCGGCAUAGACAGUGUACCAAUAUAUUACGAAAUUAAAAGGCAUUGACUACAAAAGAUUUCAUACUCUUUUUGACCAACAAGCAUGCAUAAUAUUAGGAAUGCAAAUUUGUAACCAAAAUGACAAGGACAUACCGAUUUCAAGAACCAUCACCAAGGUGGCAGAUUUCGAAUGGCAGAUUUGGAGAUAGCUGAUUUGAAGUUGCCUGAUUUGGAGAUGGCGUAGCAUGCGGAUUAUUUGAUGCCGCCGAUUGUCUCUACACAGAGGAGAAGAGAUUGCAUGUGAGACAAGAUAAAUGACGAUCAUACAUAAAUACAACUUAUCCCCACUCACAGGAGUAGAGUACGGAUCAGGUGGUGGAGGUUGCGCGAACAGAGAAGCUGGCAGAGGUACACCUAUUGCAGCGCUAAGACUCUGCAUGUAAGUAAGUACAUCACUCAUCCUUUGCUCCAACUCCUGUCGUUUCCUCGUCUCUUCUUCCAGCCGGCC